GGUUAAGCGACUAAGCGUACACGGUGGAUGCCCUGGCAGUCAGAGGCGAUGAAGGACGUGCUAAUCUGCGAAAAGCGCCGGCGAGGUGAUAUGAACCUUUGACCCGGCGAUGUCCGAAUGGGGAAACCCAGUGUGAUUCGUCACACUAUCGUUAACUGAAUACAUAGGUUAACGAGGCGAACCGGGGGAACUGAAACAUCUAAGUACCCCGAGGAAAAGAAAUCAACCGAGAUUCCCCCAGUAGCGGCGAGCGAACGGGGAGCAGCCCGGAGUCUGAAUCAGCUUGUGUGUUAGUGGAACGGUCUGGAAAGUCCGACGGUACAGGGUGAUAGUCCCGUACACGAAAAUGCACAGGUUGUGAACUCGAAGAGUAGGGCGGGACACGUGGUAUCCUGUCUGAAUAUGGGGGGACCAUCCUCCAAGGCUAAAUACUCCUGACUGACCGAUAGUGAACCAGUACCGUGAGGGAAAGGCGAAAAGAACCCCGGCGAGGGGAGUGAAAAAGAACCUGAAACCGUGUACGUACAAGCAGUGGGAGCCUACUUGUUAGGUGACUGCGUACCUUUUGUAUAAUGGGUCAGCGACUUAUAUUCUGUAGCAAGGUUAACCGUAUAGGGGAGCCGAAGGGAAACCGAGUCUUAACUGGGCGUUAAGUUGCAGGGUAUAGACCCGAAACCCGGUGAUCUAGCCAUGGGCAGGUUGAAGGUUGGGUAACACUAACUGGAGGACCGAACCGACUAAUGUUGAAAAAUUAGCGGAUGACCUGUGGCUGGGGGUGAAAGGCCAAUCAAACCGGGAGAUAGCUGGUUCUCCCCGAAAGCUAUUUAGGUAGCGCCUCGUGAAUUCAUCUUCGGGGGUAGAGCACUGUUUCGGCUAGGGGGCCAUCCCGGCUUACCAACCCGAUGCAAACUACGAAUACCGAAGAAUGUUAUCACGGGAGACACACGGCGGGUGCUAACGUCCGUCGUGAAGAGGGAAACAACCCAGACCGCCAGCUAAGGUCCCAAAGUCAUGGUUAAGUGGGAAACGAUGUGGGAAGGCACAGACAGCCAGGAUGUUGGCUUAGAAGCAGCCAUCAUUUAAAGAAAGCGUAAUAGCUCACUGGUCGAGUCGGCCUGCGCGGAAGAUGUAACGGGGCUAAACCAUGCACCGAAGCUGCGGCAGCGACGCUUAUGCGUUGUUGGGUAGGGGAGCGUUCUGUAAGCCGUUGAAGGUGGCCUGUGAGGGUUGCUGGAGGUAUCAGAAGUGCGAAUGCUGACAUAAGUAACGAUAAAGCGGGUGAAAAGCCCGCUCGCCGGAAGACCAAGGGUUCCUGUCCAACGUUAAUCGGGGCAGGGUGAGUCGACCCCUAAGGCGAGGCCGAAAGGCGUAGUCGAUGGGAAACAGGUUAAUAUUCCUGUACUUGGUGUUACUGCGAAGGGGGGACGGAGAAGGCUAUGUUAGCCGGGCGACGGUUGUCCCGGUUUAAGCAUGUAGGCGGAGGUUCCAGGUAAAUCCGGUACCUU
rnacentral:rRNA from 1 species